GGAUUUAGUUUAAGUAUGACAAUUCUGUUUUUGUAAAGCAGGUGUAUUUUUGGUAUAGGGUCCA
rnacentral:tRNA from 1 species